GUGAGGAAUAUUGGGCAAUGGGCGAAAGCCUGACCCAGCAACGCCGCGUGAAGGAAGAAGGUCUUCGGAUCGUAAACUUCUAUCCUUGGUGAAGAUAAUGACGGUAGCCGAGAAGGAAGCCCCGGCUAACUACGUGCCAGCAGCCGCGGUAAUACGUAGGGGGCAAGCGUUGUCCGGAAUGAUUGGGCGUAAAGGGCGCGUAGGCGGCCUGGUAAGUCUGGAGUGAAAGUCCUGCUUUUAAGGUGGGAAUUGCUUUGGAUACUGUCGGGCUUGAGUGCAGGAGAGGUAAGUGGAAUUCCCGGUGUAGCGGUGAAAUGCGUAGAGAUCGGGAGGAACACCAGUGGCGAAGGCGACUUACUGGACUGUAACUGACGCUGAGGCGCGAAAGUGUGGGGAGCAAACAGGAUUAGAAACCCUGGUAGUCC
rnacentral:rRNA from 1 species